rnacentral:rRNA from 1 species
AUUGAACGCUGGCGGCAGGCCUAACACAUGCAAGUCGAGCGAGAAACUCCUUCGGGAGUGAGUAGAGCGGCGGACGGGUGAGUAACGCGUAGGAAUCUACCUGGUAGUGGGGGACAACAGUUGGAAACAGCUGCUAAUACCGCAUACGCCCUACGGGGAAGCGGGGGACCUUCGGGCCUCGCGCUACCAGAUGAGCCUGCGUUGGAUUAGCUAGUUGGUGGGGUAAAGGCCUACCAAGGCGACGAUCCAUAGCUGGUCUGAGAGGAUGAUCAGCCACACCGGGACUGAGACACGGCCCGGACUCCUACGGGAGGCAGCAGUGGGGAAUAUUGCGCAAUGGGGGCAACCCUGACGCAGCCAUGCCGCGUGUGUGAAGAAGGCCUUCGGGUUGUAAAGCACUUUCAAUUGGGAAGAAAGCUCACAGUUAAUACCUGUGAGCCGUGACAUUACCUUUAGAAGAAGCACCGG